CCCCCAAUUCCGAUCCCGCACUCCCGGUUUCCGUCCCUGUCUCAAGAAAACACUUCGAUUUUUCUCGAGAAAUUUUGGGGAUUAGGAGCGGGGGCGGAGAAUUUAACAAGAAAUUUCAGAAAAAAAUAAAGUAUGAGCUUUCAAGAUCUUGAGGCAGGGAGGCCGUUGGCUUCAAGGCGGGAUUUGAUCAACGGCAAGCAGGACCCAACGCAGGCGGUCGCUCCGGAAUUUUCCAGAUCAACACUGCUGUCUCUACGUUCCAGCGACUCGUCAAUACCCUCGGCACGCCCAAAGACACGCCGGAGCUUCGUGAGAAGCUGCACAAAACAAGGCUUCAUAUUGGGCAAUUAGUGAAGGAUACUUCAGCAAAA